AAAGAGGGUGCAUACAAAUUAAUUAGGAAACAGAGUUGCAGAUGAUCAAGUACAUGCCCUUCACUUUCCCAAAGUGAAGCAAUGGAAGUAAAGCUGAAGAAAUUGUUACCAUGUUACUGAAGACAACACUACCUGGUAGGGGAGGAAGGAAAAAAAGUGGCCUAGGAUUAAGUUCCAAGUUUUAUAGUAUUAGACCUCAGAGAACAUUUCUAUCACCACAGAAAAUUCAACUGGACAAUGGUCGAAGUACCAGAAAAUGAGAGAAUAUCAUCUUUUUGAAAAUGUUGGAGCAGAAGAAACUAUGCUAAAUGAGAAUGUGAGCAAGGACAGUUUUAAUAUCUUCCGUUUGACAAUUUUGAAGCAGUCAUUUAUUAUUUUAACAAUUGUGAAAUUGGAAAGCGUGACACAAUUGAUGUAAUCAUUUAAUUAGUGUUCAGUUUUCCACCUGAGGGAUAAACAAACAAAUUGAUGAUGGGUCUCAUGAUCAUUGUCGGGUUUUUGGGGGGCCAAUGAAAUGGCUAAAUCAGGACAAAGAGGUUUUCAUCUUGAGUAGUAAUCACAAGGAUGGAAGAACAGAAAUUGGAAGGAAGACUGGAGAUAUGUUGAUAAUAGGAUUUGAACUAAAUCCAUAAAGAAGCAGCCUCUAGGUACUGGUUAGAAAUUUGCAGCAAGGAUACAUUGACCACAAUAUAAAGUGCAUUCUUAGUUUCACAAGAUUUGACUCUGAGUACUAAGAUAGUCUGUUGACUGUGAGUUGAGUUUCAAGGUAAUAACUUGAAACAUUCAUUU